CCGCCCAUUCAUCGCCGCCACCCAUCGCGUCGCCCGCCCCCGCCCACAACCUUCUCUCGCCUUCCACCCAUCCUCGCCGCGCCAUCGCACUCCCGCAAUCCUGUUAGCUUCUCUCCCUGACAUGGCUUCACUUCCCGGUGCGAAACCCUAGCGCGGCGGCGGCGGCGGAUUGGUGUGGGAGGUGGUAGUGGAGACAGCGGCCUCAGGCAGGGGCAUACUGUAGGUGGCUCGACUGUCGCCUGGCAGGCUGUAUAGGCAGCGGAGGUGGAGGUCGUGCAAGGCGGCUCUUCCGCCGAUCCGUUCGUUCAAGUCCUUGGUUGCUGCGUUGACUUUCCUGGCUGUCGCCAUGCUAGCAAGCACGGCCACUGCAACGUCUUCUCUGGUGCUACCGGCAACCAGCCGACCACAGCACUGCCAUGCCUCCGAUGCUCCAUGGUAGCCGGCCCUACAUCUCCACUCAGAAAGGAAAAUGCUGGAGCCAAUGGAUGUUUAGUGGGACUACGUUCUGAUUUGACAAAGCUAAAGGAAGCAUAUAUCACAAAUUUCUAUCGGAAAGAGAAUAUGGGGAUGGUGUUUCAUUCUUGGCCGGUUAUCGAUUGCGCUUCCAAAUAAAGUUGGAGCAAUAAUAUGUGGUGGAGGCUCAAGUUGCUAGCAGGAGCUGUGAUAAUAUAAAUGUUCAACAUAUGAGUUUUCUGCGCUUGUGUUUUUGCAGGUGUCACCCUUUCUGUUACAGUUGGUUUUGCAGCCUGAUAUGUGGUUAAGAAGCUAUUGUGGAGAGGUGAAGUUAGCAGGGCUGAUGGUGGAAGCUUUCGGAUUUACUGGAGAUAUGGCAGAGUAGGUCACCGAGGUCGGAGCGAGCUGCUCGGCCCCAUGCCAUGACACGAAGUGAUUCGUGUAUUUGAAUUCAAGUUCUGGCACAAUACUAAUAAUGGAUGGUCCAAUCGCAACAAUUUCAGGUGUUACUCAAAGAAAUACACCUGGCUUGAAAUGGACUAUGGUAGAAGUGACAAGGAGACGAAGGAAGACUUUUGUUGUCAAUCAGAUAAAAGAGGCAAAGCUGGAGACUCCGAUAUUAGCAUGAUGAAGCAGCAAAUGAUGGAAAUAGGGCUAUGACGUUUUAAAAAGGAUCUCUAAUACUAUUUCAAAGGCAGACAGUAACGGAAAAAUGGUUAGAUUUACAUUCAUGCCGUUGAGGGCUAUCUUUUGCUUUGGUCUCAGAGAUAACAACCUAUGACCAAUUCUUGUUUAGUUGUUCUUCCUUGUCACGGUUCCAUGAUUUCAACUAGCCUGCAGAGGACGAUUAAUCUAUGUAAUAUAUUUGUUAUUGUUCGCUGAAUAAUUUUCUUGUUUGAUGUGUGAUCCUGACGUGUUCUUAUUGUAGGUGUUGCCGUUCACUCUCACCCUCCCAUGGAGAUGUCGCCGACAAUGCUGCCACACAUGUCCCUGCAAUCGUCACCCCCAUCCUCAUGUCUAGAGGUAGCUCAAACGCUUGAUCAGAGCUCAUUAAAUUUGAGCAU